rnacentral:rRNA from 1 species
GUGCCAGCCGCCGCAGUAAUACCGGCAGCCCGAGUGAUGGCCGAUCUUAUUGGGCCUAAAGCGUCCGUAGCUGGCCGACCAAGUCUAUCGGGAAAUCCACCUGCCCAACAGGUGGGCGUCCGGUAGAAACUGGCCGGCUUGGAACCGGAAGGCUCAGAGAGUACGUCCGGGGUAGGAGUGAAAUCCCGUAAUCCCGGACGGACUACCGAUGGCGAAAGCACUCUGAGAAGACGGCUUCGACAGUGAGGGACGAAAGCUAGGGUCUCGAACCGGAUUAGAUACCCUAGUAGUCC